AAUAAAUAAAUGUUUAAAAAAAUUUUUAAAAAUAAUGUCCUAAGAAAAAUUCCUGCCUCACAAUAAAAUUUUGGCAGAUUAUUGGUCCCAGAACUGAGUUCAUUUAAAUUAAGAAACAAGAACAGUGUUUACAGGAAAAUGCUAGAAUAAGAUUAGAUUUAAAAAAUCUUAAUGAUAAAGCAAAAAAUUAUAUGACCUCAAGUUCAAAGCAGAAGUGCAAGAAUCCAAGGCAGAUAUGGUAGAUAACAGAGAAAGACAGCACAUGAGUUAGCAAAGCACAGGAAAGAAGUAAGAGAAAAAAAUAAAAUCUCAGGUAUAAAGCCCACAUUAGGAGCAACACAAAAACUAUCCCCACUGAAAACAUGAUAGGAUUGAAAAGGAAGUGAAAAAAAAAAAAAAGGAAUGAAGGAGUAAAAAAAAAAGACAAAGGUUAACAGGAAAAAAAUUUAAAAAGAGAUCUAAUACAAUCAGCUUGCUAAGCUUGAGAACUAAAAUAGGAGAAAAAAGAAUUCACAUAAUCAAGAAAUUUGUUAAGUACAGCUUUUUGUCUAUAGAUUGAGAAAGGACACAAUUUCUCAGCGGGGGUGGGGGUGGGGGAGAGUACUACACAUAUCCUAGGAAUUCCACAAGACUUUUUUAAAAAAAGUUCUUUUUUAUUAGAUAGUUAAAAGCACAAUUUAAAUGUCCAAUAACAGGAAAGUAUUGAAGGUAAUUUGGUUUAUCCAUAAAAUGGAAUACCAUGCAGCAGUUAGAUAGGAAAUUUAUGUGUGAAUAUGGAAAAAUCUCCAAGAUAUUUUGGAAUAAAUCAAUGUGCAUAAUAUUAUAGAUGGAUUAUGAUUUCUAUUUAAAGACAACAUGCAUGGGAUAUCUGCUUGGAUGUACUUAGAUUAUCUCUGGAAGCACAUCUAAGAAGAGUAGCAGUGAAUGUCUCUAAGGAACUAGAUGGCUGUGAUAAAAAUGUGGGACUGGGGUGGCACCUGGGUGGCUCAGUUGGUUAAGCAUCUGACUGUUGGUUUUGGCAAAGGUCAUGAUCUUUUGGUUGGUAAGUUCAAGCCCCACAUCGAGCUCUGUGCUAACAGUAUGCGGCCUGCUUGGGAUUCUCUCUCUCUCUCUCUCUCUCUCUCUCUCUCUCUCUCUCUCUCUCCCCUUAUCUCUCUGCGGGACUGUGAAUUAUUUUGUAUGUUCUUUGAGUCCCUUUUAUACCUUGCAUCAUGUGCAUAUAUUAUCUAUUCAAAACAAAUAAUAACAUGUACUUUUAAAAAGGUAGCCAGUCUGUUGUUUAAUUAUUGUCAGGGGGAAAAAAAAUGCAACCACAAUAAAUACCCAUACUGUUCCUUUGGGCAGACAUUGUUCAGCAAUAUAAUGGAAUGAUGUUAAAUAAUUCCAUCUGACCUGUUAAUACCUUCUACUACUUAGAGCAUCAUUUUGCUAUGGACUAAUCCUGGAGGACUCCUGAAGGCAGUGCUAGUCAAAAUUCUACACUGGGCAAGAGAUUUACUAAAGUUCCUCAAUAUCUUCAAAUAACCAGUAACAACUGCCUUUAACAUUUCCAUGCCAAAAAUGACUCUUCCAUGCCCUAUGGCACAGAACUCUGGGGUUUCAAUCAAGGCAUUGAUUCUUUUACAAAAAAAAAAGCCCCAAAACUCCUUAAAUAAAAAUACAAUUUAUAGUUUUAAUUUCCAUAAUGGAAUGUUUAAAUGGGCACUUACAGUUUGCUUCAAUCAAUAUCAGAAUGUAUCUAUAUCCUAUGUUGUUGGAAUAGAUAAAAUGGUUGUGAGGCCUGCCUACCCCAAGCCGUUUCCUUCUCUGAUAAGAUGGAGGAAAAGUAACGCCAACAUUUUGGCAUAGUAACCAGACAGAAUUCCUUUGAUAUUCAUGUUAUGCAUACGUGCUCCCUUCAUCCCAUUUCUGUUGAUAAAUAAAAGGAAGGCGACAAAGGGAAAAACACGUGCUCAGAUAGGUGCUUUGUCAGAUAACCAGGUCUGUUUUCCGAUUGAGAUAAAGCUCAUUCUUCCCAGAAUUUCCACCAUAUUGCCUUCUGUAAUUUCUGAAUAAAGCAAAUAUGACUCAUACACAUAAGAUAUUAUAGUUCACAUUUUUUUGUUACACAACUUUCUUGAUAAAGAAAGCAGUACAUUGUCUCACAUUCUGUUGCAAUUUUCUUAUUCCCAUUUCCAACCACUCAGGGGUUUUACUUAGAAGAGCAGUGAUAACGUACUUCUGGAUGAGGUAGGUUCCAUGGUCAGAAAUGCCCCCCUGCCCCAGCAAGUCAGUGAUACCUACACCUGAGAUGAAAAUAACAAGAAUGGGACUGUCAUGCCAAUAUCUGAGAAAGAACAUUCUAGGCUAGUGCAAAGACCUCAGGGCAAAAAAUAAGCUUAUUGUGUUUGAGGAAAAGAUUGGAGUUUAGAAAAGAUAGCGCCUGCCACAAGAGAUGAAGUUGAACCAUGCAAGGUCUCCUGAAUGUUAGGACUUUGCAUUUUAUUCUAGAAUCUUCAGUGGACAGCUUUUUAGGAGGGAAAAAGGCAGAAUAAUGUGAUUUUACUUCGAUUUUAAAAGAUCAUUCUGUUGUGUGGCAAAUGGAUUCGGGGGAAAGGUAGUCCAAACAGAAGCAGGACGACCAAUAACAAGUCUAUUAUAAUAGUCCAUGCAGGAAAUGACUGUGGCUUGAAAGUGAAUAAUAUUGGUGACGGUCCAGAUAAGAAGACGGAAUAUGCUUUGAAGAUGAAAUUAAAGCUUUUUAAUGUUUUGAUAUGGGGUGUGAAAGAAAAGAAAGAUUGGAGAAUGACUCUAAGAUUUCAGGUAGAUUCACUGGGUUUACUAUGGUGCAGUGAGAUAGGGAAGCUCAGGAAGUGGAACAAGUUAACUAGUGUAAUGUUCUGUUCUGGACAUGGCCUAUAUUGAAAGCAGCCCCAUACUCCUUAGGAUAAAUCACUGGAUCUUCAUGUCUGAUCCAAGAUUAUCUCUCCAACCAUAUCUUUAGUUAUCCCAACAAACACAAUAAAUCCCAUUUUCCAAAACAAACCAUUUCCCUUUGUUCAAACUGACUACAUCUGUGUACUUUCCUAAUGAAGUACACAUCCUGUAAGCCUUAAGUACAUACCUCAGUUUCUUUCUAUUGUUUUCCUUGACCCUUUUCAAGCACAAUUGCCUCUCCCCCAGCAGUACUACUUCCUUUAUUCAUACUUUUUAGUGGAAGGUGUCACACUGAUAUUCUCGUCAACCCUACCAUGAGUUCCUCAAGGGUGAGUCUAUCUCCAAUUCAUAUUAAGACUCCUGGAAACCAGCCAAGUGCAUAAAUUCUCACUAAAGACAAAUUUUCAUAUGCACUCAUGCUGAAAAAUGGCUCAUGAGCAGUAUUUUCAUACUCACCCACAUACAUAUAAAUAGCAAUCACUCUCUCCAGAUAUAUCUUCAAGUUUGAAGGACAAAGGAGUAUUUGGAAAAUCAAAGGUUAAACUUGAAAAAUUAAUAGCAAAAAUAUGACCUUUUAAAAAAGACAAUCUCUUUUUAAGUGUAUUUUCAUGUUUGCUGUAAAAACAUUUCAUUUUGGAUUCGGAAGAAAAAGUGUCUUAAUUUCUACUUUUUUUUUUUGGUAGUAAAUAUUGCAUGAAGGAACACAUUAUUUCCAUACUAAAUUGACACAUUUAUAAUUAAACCAAAAUGGUUUCCUUACAAGUUGCAGAUAGGGGUUAAGAACCUGACAGUGAUUCAGGGACUAGGAAGCAAUGAUAGCAGUGAGUCUGGCUCACCAUAGGACCCAUUGCAGAGAAGGAUGAGUGCCAGUUGAAUGAGUAUGUGCUCUCUCUUUGCUUCUUUUUACAACCGUGGGGGUCUGCCAAAAAUCUGUAAAUUGCUGGCCAGCAGGCAAAGCCAAUCCAAGCACCUGUGUUGCAAAAUGCAGCAAUUGUGUGAUUGUCAUUACUGAUCCAUCUGUGAGGCUGGUACUUGCCACAUGUCAGUUGACUCACAUAAGGUGGGUUGGAAGAGAAAUUCCAUUAGAUAAGGAAGACAGCAAAAUUAAUAUAUCAUCUGUUCUUCUUUAUGAUUGAAAAAAUGUAGCAAGCAUGAUGGAAAGUGAGAAUUUUGUAAAUGAUUUGAACAGAUUAGUAAUGGCUAUUACAUGACAAAUGGGAAAACUUUAAUUCAAAAAGAAAAAAAUAAUAUUAUAUAAUUUUAGGAAGAAAGUCUUUACUUUCUCUAAUGACUCACUGCACACAAAUGGAGUACCAGAGUUGUUAGUCCAGAAUAGAGGUAAAAGAAUGAUGUCUUACCAAAGACUAUAAAGCACCAGGUAAGGUUCAUUAUCUUAGAUUCUUAAAUAACAAAAUCUCAAUUACCAAGUCUCAAAAAAUCCAGACUUUGUGGUGUCAGAACCUGUCUAAGCUGAAGAUAGGAUUGCAUUAUCAAUGAAAAAGGGCAUAAUAAAAAUACCAAUAAUAUUAAAAAUUAUUCAAGGGAAAAUGUUGAAACUUCUUUUGAGUAUAAAUGAUUUUUGCAGUUUGCUCUGUAAAUAUGCUGGCAGUGUACAAAUCAAAAGUAACAUACUAAUAGAAAUUAUCUCUUAUGCUGACUGGGCAUAUGGCAUAUACUGGAUGAGGUGCUAUGAGCAUGUUAUGUUACUUCUUUUAAAGCUGUUCAGGUUUAAGUACUAAGGCUCAAAGAUGUUGCCUAUCUUAACCAUUCAACAAAAUGACCUGUUUAAUAUUUCUUAAGAUGAGUUUUAUUUCCUUUAUAUGAUUUUUAUGGCACUAUUCAUGGUGAUGCCUAUUAGGCAGUACUUGAUAAACACCUCAGUCCCCAAACUACUGAGAGAGUACAAUCCAAUAAUAUUGUAUUAUGAAAUACAUGUACAAUAUUGUAGUAGCUGAGAAAAUCAAUAGAACAUAAAAUACCCAUGGAAUAGGUCAAUGAGAAAUCUGAAGGAUAAAAACAAAUAUUUGUCAUGAUAAGGUGCAAGUGGGAAAUGAUAAAUUUGGAUUUUAAGAAGCUGAGUUUCUGGCCCGAUCUAUUAAAUGACAAAGAUAAUACAUACUUCCCAUACAUUUGCUUUAGUCUCUCCAACUUUUUAAAGGGCAUUUAUUAAAGCAAAUUCUAGAGAAAUGUACACCAAAUAUCUCUGAGUAUUGAGGAAACAGAUAAUUUAUAUUUUCAGAUUUUGCUCCUGUGGAUUUCUGAAAGACAUAAUUAUUCAUUGUGGAAUUAAAAACUUGAAAGGCAUAACUAAGAUGACCCAUUGUAAACAGCAAGUAUGGUACACACUGAACUUAGAAACUUCAAAGAGACAGAGAGGAAGAAAGGCAAAGAGAGAGAGAGAGGAAGAGAGAAAAAGAAUCCCAAGCAGUCUCUGUGUCCUCAGCACAGAGCUGGAACUCAUGAACCAGGAGAUCAUGACCUGAGCGGAAACCUGGAGUCGGACACUUAACUAACUGAGGUAUCGAGGAACCACAGAUCUUUUCUCAUCCUUUUACUUUCCUGUGUUAUAAUAAAACUUAAUGUUUUCUGAA